rnacentral:rRNA from 1 species
UACGAAGGGUCCAAGCGUUAUCCGGAUUCAUUGGGUUUAAAGGGUGCGCAGGCGGGGCCUUAAGUCAGUGGUGAAAUCUCUUCGCUCAACGAAGAAACUGCCAUUGAUACUGAGGUUCUUGAACGUAGUUGACGUUAGUGGAAUGUGUCAUGUAGCGGUGAAAUGCAUAGAUAUGACACAGAACACCGAUCGCGAAGGCAGCUAACGAAGCUAUUAUUGACGCUCAGGCACGACAGCAUGGGGAGCAAACAGG